rnacentral:rRNA from 1 species
UAACAAGGAUUCCCCUAGUAACUGCGAGUGAAGCGGGAAAAGCUCAAAUUUAAAAUCUGGCAGUCUUUGGCUGUCCGAGUUGUAAUCUAGAGAAGUAUUAUCCGCGCUGGACCGUGUACAAGUCUCCUGGAAUGGGGCGUCAUAGAGGGUGAGAAUCCCGUCUUUGACACGGACUGCCAGGGCUUUGUGAUGUGCUCUCAAAGAGUCGAGUUGUUUGGGAAUGCAGCUCAAAAUGGGUGGUAAAUUCCAUCUAAAGCUAAAUAUUGGCGAGAGACCGAUAGCGAACAAGUACCGUGAGGGAAAGAUGAAAAGAACUUUGGAAAGAGAGUUAAACAGUACGUGAAAUUGCUGAAAGGGAAACGCUUGAAGUCAGUCGCGUUGGCCAGGGAUCAACCUUGCUUUUGCUUGGCCUUACUUUCUGGGUUAAAUGGGUCAAGCAUCAAUUUUGACUGGUGGGAAAAAGUUCAAGGGAAUGUGGCAUCUUCGGAUGUGUUAUAGCCUUUGUUCGCAUACAUUGGUUGGGAUUGAGGAACUCAGCACGCCGCAAGGCCGGGUUUUUAACCACGUACGUGCUUAGGAUGCUGGCAUAAUGGCUUUAAUCGACCCGUCUUGAAACACGGACCAAGGAGUCUAACAUGCCUGCGAGUGUUUGGGUGAAAAACCCGAGCGCGUAAUGAAAGUGAAAGUUGAGAUCCCUGUCGUGGGGAGCAUUGACGCCCGGAUCUGACCUUUUGUGACGAUUCUGCGGUAGAGCAUGUAUGUUGGGACCCGAAAGAUGGUGAACUAUGCCUGAAUAGGGUGAAGCCAGAGGAAACUCUGGUGGAGGCUCGUAGCGAUUCUGACGUGCAAAUCGAUCGUCAAAUUUGGGUAUAGGGGCGAAAGACUAAUCGAACC